UGAAUAUUUUCUUGUCCUUGAAGAUGUUCUUCUCUGGCAUGCAUCUUCCCAACCUAUUUGAAAAUCAUCCUGUGCUUGUUCUUAAUUUACAGCCUUGAGGCAGAAGGCAUGGCAAACCUGGGCACUGAGCCUGCUACUAAGAACAGUUUUCGUGCUACUGGUGUAGUGUUUAAUUUAGGAGAAAUCGUGAGACUUGAUACCUUCUUUCAAGAUGGACAGAACUUGAAAAUGCACGAAGCAGCUGGAAUGAGGAUACAUUUGAGAAGCAGCUGGAAGGAGGAUACAUUUGAGAAGCAGCUGCAGCACAUAAUGCAGUUGAAACAAGUGAAAGAGGAUGUUCUGAGAGGUUAUCAUGAAACAAGGAGGAGACAGUGUGCUGCAAAAACACAUUUACUGCAUGUUUAGUCCUUCUGGAAAUACUGCCAUUAGUGGAGCCUUUGUGCUCUGCUGAAUGCUAAUAAAUACCAGAGAGAACUGGCUUUUCCAUCUUUAAAUGCUGUGCUACCAGGCAUUUGCUUUAUUUUUCACAGAUUGUACUGUUACACAUGCUUGUUUAAGAUACCUUAAUUUUUAAUUUUCUUACUAACCUGUUGCUUUCCAUAGAAUGAAAACAGUGUUUUAUUAUUUGCAGUAAAUAAACCAUUUGUAAACUUGUCAAA